rnacentral:piRNA from 1 species
UGCAAGCAACUUGAGGAGGGGUCUGUAA